CGGCGCUGACAUCGAACACCGCACACGAUCCUCACCAUGCCUCCGCCCCCUUGGGCUCACACCAAGCCCUCUCCAAAUCACAUUGGCACUCUUAGGACAUGUCAUGCAACAUAUAUAGAUGCUUGUUGCCUCAUGUUAUGCCCCUUUGCCUCAUCUUCGACUUCAGCCUAUUCCCUCAGCACAUGCCGCCUGCAUAGCUGACAAGGUUGCGGCCUAGUUGGCACGCACAAUCCUGGCGAGUGACAGGCCCCAAAACUUUGGGGCGUCACACCCUCACACACCUGAAGUAGUCAUUGUCCUCAAUGACAUGCAACACCGACGACAACCCGAAGUCNNNNN
rnacentral:lncRNA from 1 species